rnacentral:rRNA from 1 species
GACGAACGCUGGCGGCGUGCUUAACACAUGCAAGUCGAGCGGUAAGGCCCUUUCGGGGGUACACGAGCGGCGAACGGGUGAGUAACACGUGGGUGACCUGCCCUCAGCUCUGGGAUAAGCCUGGGAAACCGGGUCUAAUACUGGAUAUGACUCCAUGACGCAUGUUGUGGGGUGGAAAGCCUUGUGCGGCUGAGGAUGGGCCCGCGGCCUAUCAGCUUGUUGGUGGGGUGANGGCCUACCAAGGCGACGACGGGUAGCCGGCCUGGGAGGGCGACCGGCCACACUGGGACUGAGACACGGCCCAGACUCCUACGGGAGGCAGCAGGUGGGGAAUCUUGCGCAAUGGGCGAAAGCCUGACGCAGCGACGCCGCGUGAGGGAUGACGGCCU